AACCAACAAGAUUCAACGCCAUACUGAAUGGGAGAAGAUAUUAGUAAAUGAUGUAUCUGAUGAGUUAACAUACAAAUUAUAUAAAGAAUUC